AUUUACAAAAAUAUCGGCUUAACAAAAAGGGAACUGUCCUAUGACCCUCUAGUCAAAUAUUUUCGACGAUUCUUCGAUCUUCACCUUCCUCGACUCCAAGGCUUCCGGUCCUCCAUGAUUGCCAUCUAGGACCUGAAAAUGUUAUUCCACAACAGGGUGAGACGACGUCUCAACAAGUUCAACCCCCUAAGCCUCAACCAAGAAGAAAUACGCCCCAAGGGCUGCCUAAACACAAACAUAGGUCGGAGGUCUUACCUUUACCUCAGUGCCUUUCUGCAAGUCAGUAUAGUUUAGAUAUUCACAAUUCGCAAUCAAUCAAAUCAUCAAACCGAUCAAAUCGUCGAUCAAUCGACUCAAUCAAUUGCAUGUCAUCAUGACCUGUGGGUUGUGGGCCCACUCAAUACAAACUAGGAAGUCCGAUCAUGCCAGGAGUACUCACUUUAAACCACAAUCAAUCAUUUGACCCAAAUAAUAAUUAGGGCCACUCACGGCACAUUCUAUUCCAUACUUGGUAGUCUCCUAGUGUAGCUAGGUUAAAUCACGGCUCAAUGGGCGCGGCCUAUGCUAAGCGGUAAUCACGACCUAAUGGGCACAACCUAUUCCAAGUUCGGCGGUAAAUCACGAUUCGACGAGCACAACUUGGGUUAGGUGAUAAUCACGACCCACAAGCACAACCUCUAUGAGGUGGUUAAUCACGGCUCAAUGAGCACAACCUCUAUGAGGUGGUUAAUCACAGCUUAAUGAGCACAACCUCUUUGAGGUGGUUUCCUUGAUCUAACUCAUAACAUCACUCGGUUACUCACCCACGGCCAACAACAUUAUACUUCACAAUUACAUUCCUCAAAUGACAUAAUACCUUGGCCUAUUUUCCUCGGUUUAGAGAUACUCGAUAAAAUAAUCGUGUGUCGGUACACAGUCGGCCAUAACCAAAAUAUAAUAUUUUCUCACUUUUGAACAUCCCACUAGUUUUAACAAUCUCAAAAUAGAUUUUUAGCGUUGUAGAUCGACGUCAGGUAACUUUCCAAUUAAUUACCAAAAUUAUCAAUUUUUGAGAUAAUUACCCACAAUCACCAAUCACACUCAAUUUGCACAAAAUAAUAGCCAAAUAAAUAAACAGAUCAUACCACUGUGAUCAGCACGAAAUUCUAACAAACGGCUCUCUCGGUAUAAAUUCCGGAAAAUAAUUAAAUAAUUAAAUAAUUAAUAAAAAUAAUAAAUAAAUGCCAAUAUAUAGAACUUAGGCCCGUAAAGCCUAAUUGAAAGCCAAGACGGAUCCGGGAAAUUUCCGAACAUACUCUAGUUAAAUACUAGAGCUUGUCUAGGCUCUAAUUACACUACUAUAAUCACCUAACAUGUAAUAACAAGUAAUUAAAUUGCUAAUCUAAUCUAACUAUUCACACACUCACUCCCACGUCUCAAAUAAACAAACCUUAAGCGUCAUUAACAUACUCACAAAAUAUUAGUGACUUAAACUCACUUGUUAAACGAUCCGCUUGGAUCAAAACGACGGGGAAGUGGAGGAGCUCAACAAACUCCAAAGCAGCGACGGCUUUCGAGAACCGGAAACGGUCCAAAGUGGGCCUAGAAGGAUCAAGGUCUCUGCUGGUUUCGGUGUGGCUCUGUUGAGCUUGCUAGUCCGGCUGUUGGUGGCGUGGCCAAGGAGUCUCGGUGAGGUGAUGGGCUGUUGCGGAGUCGGCCUUGAGUGGUGGACGUACGGGUUGAGCCGAGGCUGCUCACGAAUGAGGUUUGGAGGGGCAUGCGUUGUUGGGCUCGGUGCUGCGGAGACGGUGUUGAAUCGGUGGAAGAGGACAGCUAGAAGUCAACACCAAAGGUUGUUGCGGCUGACUUCUGUUGAAUUGGGCUGCAUGAGGGAAGGGAGUUGCUUCGACUGGGCUGUUGUUGGGGACGUCUCGGCUGCUGGGUGUGGACUGGAGAAGGAAACGGAAUUGAAGAAGUCCAAGUGGUGAAGGAAGAAGGCAGCUAGCCGAAGGAGA
rnacentral:lncRNA from 1 species